CCUAGGAAACGGUAUCUCUUAGCUGCUGAUUACUGUUCAUGCCUCCACCCCGACGCACGCCACCUUCUUCCUCUCCUCCAUUCGCCAGCCAGUGGCCUCCACCCCUUCUUCACCACCGCUGGCCAACCCUUCCUCUUCACCACCUUCCCUCAUCGACUACCGGCUCUCCUCCACUCUUCUCACGUGAAUAGAAUCAACCCGACGCCAACACAGAAGCAACUCACGCACGAGGCGCUUCCUAAAGCCAUGCCGGCGCUGCCGACUUCUUCAUUUUCAUUCACCUCCUCCCUUCAGAUUAGAAGGGAAGAGAGCAAGGGGUCUCCUCUUCAGUUUAGAAGAGGAGCUUCUUCUGUCUCCAGCCAUCCACGACCCUUCAUCAGCCCCUCAUUGUCAUCCAACAGCCCUCUUCCCUCUCCUCUUCGGGUUAGAAGAGGGGAGGGCAGCUUCCGUUGCUUCUAGUAGUUCCUUCUUCCACACCGGCAGUUUCUCUCUACCUUUCCCUAGUUCUUCCUUUGCUCCUGCCUUGCCCCCAACUAAAGACAGCCAUCAUCUCUAAGAAACAUUAGUGAAUUUAUGUUGUGUUGUCAAGUAGUUCCCUGUUCUACUUGCUUUUCAUUGGUUGUGUUGACUACUGCUCUACGAGAAAAUUUGUCGAUAUGCUAUGUUUGUUCGUUUCGUGUAGAGAAUAUAUGUUGACCAUCCAAUCAAUUUGUUGUUUCUCUUGGCACAGGAACCUUAUCACAGGAGGAGUAUCAGACUCAAUUUGAUCUAGUAAACAUGAAUUUACAAUUGAAAGAUCUUGCAGAGCAAAGGCUAAACACAAUAUAUCUCGCGAAGUAAUCAAUGAGAAGUUAGCCACACCGUUUCCUGCUGCUUGCCACAUGAAGGGGCGACCAGAUGGUGUUCUUCCUAUUGCUCAUUAUUGAGUUGAUCGGAUUCAUUGUUUUUUUGCUUCAAACCUUUCCUAGCUCGACCCAGAAUGGUGCUCUGCUAUAACACUGCUGUAGUGUCAAUUUUUAAUACGGAUCCUCUGUCUCGAAAUCACUUUGUCCCCUUAUCGAUCGGAUGGGUCAGAUUACAUCUCAAGGAUGACUUGCACAUCAUAAGGAUAUUACACGGAUUUGAAUAUGUUGAGUCCCUUGACUCAUAGAUUUUAACUUUUUUUCCAGAUAA